CACGUAGGGGGCGAGCGUUGUCCGGAUUUAUUUGGCGUAAAGAGCUCGUAGGCGGCUCGGUAAGUCAGGUGUGAAACCUCCAGGCUCAACCUGGAGACGCCACCUGAUACUGCCGUGGCUAGAGUCCGGUAGAGGAGCGUAGAAUUCCUGGUGUAGCGGUGAAAUGCGCAGAUAUCAGGAGGAACACCGGUGGCGAAGGCGGGUCUCUGGGCCGAUACUGACGCUGAGGAGCGAAAGCGUGGGGAGCGAACAGG
rnacentral:rRNA from 1 species